rnacentral:lncRNA from 1 species
AAUAAAAAGCUUCUUGAAUGUGUUCCUGAUAUAACAAGUGUUUGUUUGAAAAAACACUGAAAAUACGUUUGGACAGAAGACAGGAUCUGGCUAAAAGCACCUAACUCUCCCAGCACAGUGCAUGUGGAGCCCACCUGCUGAAUCAGUGCCGUCUGCUGCCUUAGCUGCUGUCAU